AGAGGCUUCAAGCACUAAGGACUGCUAAUCCCUAUUCCCAUGGUUAA
rnacentral:tRNA from 9 species